GGUCAAGUGAAGAAGCGCAUACGGUGGAUGCCUUGGCAGUCAGAGGCGAUGAAAGACGUGGUAGCCUGCGAAAAGCUUCGGGGAGUCGGCAAACAGACUUUGAUCCGGAGAUCUCUGAAUGGGGGAACCCACCUAGGAUAACCUAGGUAUCUUGUACUGAAUCCAUAGGUGCAAGAGGCGAACCAGGGGAACUGAAACAUCUAAGUACCCUGAGGAAAAGAAAUCAACCGAGAUUCCCUUAGUAGUGGCGAGCGAACGGGGAUUAGCCCUUAAGCUUCAUUGAUUUUAGCGGAACGCUCUGGAAAGUGCGGCCAUAGUGGGUGAUAGCCCCGUACGCGAAAGGAUCUUUGAAGUGAAAUCGAGUAGGACGGAGCACGAGAAACUUUGUCUGAACAUGGGGGGACCAUCCUCCAAGGCUAAAUACUACUGACUGACCGAUAGUGAACCAGUACCGUGAGGGAAAGGCGAAAAGAACCCCGGAGAGGGGAGUGAAAUAGAACCUGAAACCGUAUGCGUACAAGCAGUGGGAGCCUACUUGUUAGGUGACUGCGUACCUUUUGUAUAAUGGGUCAGCGACUUAUAUUCAGUGGCAAGCUUAACCGUAUAGGGUAGGCGUAGCGAAAGCGAGUCUUAAUAGGGCGUUUAGUCGCUGGGUAUAGACCCGAAACCGGGCGAUCUAUCCAUGAGCAGGUUGAAGGUUAGGUAACACUGACUGGAGGACCGAACCCACUCCCGUUGAAAAGGUAGGGGAUGACUUGUGGAUCGGAGUGAAAGGCUAAUCAAGCUCGGAGAUAGCUGGUUCUCCUCGAAAGCUAUUUAGGUAGCGCCUCAUGUAUCACUCUGGGGGGUAGAGCACUGUUUCGGCUAGGGGGUCAUCCCGACUUACCAAACCGAUGCAAACUCCGAAUACCCAGAAGUGCCGAGCAUGGGAGACACACGGCGGGUGCUAACGUCCGUCGUGAAAAGGGAAACAACCCAGACCGCCAGCUAAGGUCCCAAAGUUGUGGUUAAGUGGUAAACGAUGUGGGAAGGCUUAGACAGCUAGGAGGUUGGCUUAGAAGCAGCCACCCUUUAAAGAAAGCGUAAUAGCUCACUAGUCGAGUCGGCCUGCGCGGAAGAUGUAACGGGGCUCAAACCACACACCGAAGCUGCGGGUGUCACGUAAGUGACGCGGUAGAGGAGCGUUCUGUAAGCCUGUGAAGGUGAGUUGAGAAGCUUGCUGGAGGUAUCAGAAGUGCGAAUGCUGACAUGAGUAACGACAAUGGGUGUGAAAAACACCCACGCCGAAAGACCAAGGGUUCCUGCGCAACGUUAAUCGACGCAGGGUUAGUCGGUUCCUAAGGCGAGGCUGAAAAGCGUAAACAGGUUAAUAUUCCUGUACUUCUGGUUACUGCGAUGGAGGGACGGAGAAGGCUAGGCCAGCUUGGCGUUGGUUGUCCAAGUUUAAGGUGGUAGGCUGAAAUCUUAGGUAAAUCCGGGGUUUCAAGGCCGAGAGCUGAUGACGAGUCGUCUUUUAGAUGACGAAGUGGUUGAUGCCAUGCUUCCAAGAAAAGCUUCUAAGCUUCAGGUAACCAGGAACCGUACCCCAAACCGACACAGGUGGUCGGGUAGAGAAUACCAAGGCGCUUGAGAGAACUCGGGUGAAGGAACUAGGCAAAAUGGCACCGUAACUUCGGGAGAAGGUGCGCCGGCUAGGGUGAAGGAUUUACUCCGUAAGCUCUGGCUGGUCGAAGAUACCAGGCCGCUGCGACUGUUUAUUAAAAACACAGCACUCUGCAAACACGAAAGUGGACGUAUAGGGUGUGACGCCUGCCCGGUGCCGGAAGGUUAAUUGAUGGGGUUAGCGCAAGCGAAGCUCUUGAUCGAAGCCCCGGUAAACGGCGGCCGUAACUAUAACGGUCCUAAGGUAGCGAAAUUCCUUGUCGGGUAAGUUCCGACCUGCACGAAUGGCGUAACGAUGGCGGCGCUGUCUCCACCCGAGACUCAGUGAAAUUGAAAUCGCUGUGAAGAUGCAGUGUAUCCGCGGCUAGACGGAAAGACCCCGUGAACCUUUACUGUAGCUUUGCACUGGACUUUGAGCCUGCUUGUGUAGGAUAGGUGGGAGGCUUUGAAGCGUGGACGCCAGUUCGCGUGGAGCCAUCCUUGAAAUACCACCCUGGCAUGCUUGAGGUUCUAACUCUGGUCCGUAAUCCGGAUCGAGGACAGUGUAUGGUGGGCAGUUUGACUGGGGCGGUCUCCUCCUAAAGAGUAACGGAGGAGUACGAAGGUGCGCUCAGACCGGUCGGAAAUCGGUCGCAGAGUAUAAAGGCAAAAGCGCGCUUGACUGCGAGACAGACACGUCGAGCAGGUACGAAAGUAGGUCUUAGUGAUCCGGUGGUUCUGUAUGGAAGGGCCAUCGCUCAACGGAUAAAAGGUACUCCGGGGAUAACAGGCUGAUACCGCCCAAGAGUUCAUAUCGACGGCGGUGUUUGGCACCUCGAUGUCGGCUCAUCACAUCCUGGGGCUGAAGCCGGUCCCAAGGGUAUGGCUGUUCGCCAUUUAAAGUGGUACGCGAGCUGGGUUUAGAACGUCGUGAGACAGUUCGGUCCCUAUCUGCCGUGGACGUUUGAGAUUUGAGAGGGGCUGCUCCUAGUACGAGAGGACCGGAGUGGACGAACCUCUGGUGUUCCGGUUGUCACGCCAGUGGCAUUGCCGGGUAGCUAUGUUCGGAAAAGAUAACCGCUGAAAGCAUCUAAGCGGGAAACUUGCCUCAAGAUGAGAUCUCACUGGGAACUUGAUUCCCCUGAAGGGCCGUCGAAGACUACGACGUUGAUAGGCUGGGUGUGUAAGCGUUGUGAGGCGUUGAGCUAACCAGUACUAAUUGCCCGUGAGGCUUGACCAU
rnacentral:rRNA from 1 species